UUCCGUAGUAAUCGCGGGUCAACAUCCCGCGGUGAAUGUGCCCCUGCUCUUUGCACACACCGCCCGUCAACUCAUCCGAGUUGGGUCGGAGUGAGGGUGCCUCAUCCGGGGCGCUCGAACUUCGGUUCAGCAAGGGGGAGUAAGUCGUAACAAGGUAUCUGUAGGGGAACCUGCAGAUGGAUCACCUCCUA
rnacentral:rRNA from 1 species